UUGAACUUCCCUAGAGAAGAGAGGGAGAGAAGAGAGAGAUCCGUGAGGAUGAUGAACGCGGUGGCCAUUUGCCUCGUCGUGACGUCGCUCGCGGCGGCCGGAGUCUGGUCUCCGGCGCCGGAGAAGCAGGGCAGCCACCGAAAGGACGAAGACGUGAUCUUGAAGGAGGGCCACCGAGUCGUCGUCGUCGAGUACGACCAGGACGGCCAGCCCAAUACCAAGGUCUCCAUCUCGCCGGAGCACGAACACAUCCCCAUCAAGCCCGCCUCCGUCUCCAACCUCGAGGGCGACCUCUACCGAGGCGCCAAGGACGUCCUCGAACGCUCCAAGGACAAGGUGAAGGAGGCCGCCUCGUCGGUUGCACCGGAGCGGAAGGAAGACGAUGGCGGCUACAGGUACAUCGGCGCGAAGGAGCUGAUAUGCGAUGCAUUUGGCAAGUGUAGGCACAGGAUCGCGAGCGGCUGGGGAAGGCCAAGGAGGAGGUAACCGAGAAGGUCUACGAGGUCGAGGAAGACGCGAGGCAGGCGAAGGAUGCGGCGGAGGAGAAGCUGCGGAGGGCUGGGGAGGCGGUGGCGCGGAAGGCGCAUGAGGCCGGGGAGAAGACGAGGGAGGCGGCGCACGAGGCUGGGGAGAAGACGAGGGAGACGUUCGAGAGCACGCGGGGUGCCAUGCAGCACGCCAAGGAGGAAGGGAAGACCAUGGUCGAGGACGUCCAGAGGAACGUGUCGGAGGCGGCCGGGGCAGCGAAGGAGCGGGCCAAGGAGAAGGCCGAGGAAGCAAAGGAGGCAGCAAGGGACGUCGGCUCGAGGCUGCACAGGCUCAAGGAGGCGGUGAGGAGGCACGUGGCCUCGCGAUUCGACGGGAGGACGCUGGCGGGGCUGGUGCACCUGCUGGGGUUCGCGACGGCGUACGGGACGUGCGUGUGGGUCACGUUCGUGUCGAGCUACGUGCUCGCGGGGGCGAUGCCGAGGCAGCAGUUCGGGAUGGUGCAGAGCAAGGUGUACCCGGUGUACUUCAGGGCCAUGUUUACCAGCAUCGCCCUGAGCCUGCUGGGGCAUUUGCUGGGCCAGGGGCGGCACCUGUUCGCGAACAAGCCGGAGAUGCUGCAGGGCUUGAACCUGCUGGCCUCGCUUCCUUUGGUCCUGGCCAAUAUGCUCUACUUGGAGCCUCGUGCCACUAAGAUAAUGUUCGAGAAGAUGAAGCUGGAGAAGGAAGAGGGCAGAGGGAGAGAGCCCACUGAGACGACCCGCGUGACCGAGCCAAGGCCUACGCCAGGUGAGACCGCAGCGCUGGUACAGGAGGACAGGGAAGGAGACGCCCUCAGAGCCCGGGUCACGAGAUUGAACGAGAGGCUGAGGAAGCUGAACUCACAUUCGUCGCUCCUCAACAUCGCGACACUGAUGGCCCUCACUUGGCAUCUGGUGUAUCUGGCGCAGCGCAUCUCGACGCCGUGCUGAUGCAAGCCGAGCUCGAGAAGAUUUCAAUGUGUGGUACAGUGUAAGAGUGCUUAGCUUGCUUCUGGUUCAUCUGUGUAUAUACGCCUUUAUAUAGUUCUGCUUUGUAAUAGGGACCAAGUGCUCUUAUGCUUACCAUUGUUGAGUCUUGACGCCUAGGAUUCUUAGGUUGAAUGUGCUGCCUCUAUGGAAGUGCUUUGCUACUCAGUGUGCUACCACAUAAAUGAAAUAUAUAUGAUAUGGUAGAUUUUCUA